AGGUUCAGUGACCGCUUCACUUUUAAGUCGCUUCCUUCCGACUUUCUUGGAAGGAAGAUGUGCAUACUUACAGGCUACAGCCCAAAUAACCAAGAAAAAAGUACCAUCUAAGAUGGGGCCAAACAUGCUAUAAACUGCAUGAACUUAGACAGAAAUGAAAGAAAAAGCUUGUGGAGGGAUGAGGUGAAAGAAGAAAAGUUUUUCACCUUACAACGAUCACAUAGUUUGACACCAUUGAAAGCUAAAUUGCUUAUCCUGAUGUCGGUCCAUAAAUCCUCAGAAAAUGGUUUUGUUUUGAACGGGUAGUCGCUAACAAUUAAAAAAGGGAUCAGACGAUUGUGUAAGGAACAGACCUCUUGAGACAAAGUCCCAAAAAGGGGUGUUUUAUUGGCGAUGAUUUACAAUUGGAACUUAAACAGAAUGCCUCCAAGAGGCGCAAGCACACGAGUACUAAAAGAAAUGUCUAAGUUUAAACUAAGAAAUCGAAAUUACAUAUUCUCUGUUUGAGAGUGUUUGAUUCGAGGUCUUUUUCUCUAUGUCUUCUCUUCCUUUUAUAUUCCUUUGAUGAAUUCUUCAUGACAACCGCUUGGAAACUGCUUGAUUGAUGUAUAACUACCCACUUUCUUUAUAGUGGCUAACUUGUAAGGGAACUGUCGUCCCUAACUAUCGCCAUUACUCUUUGUCGUUCAACUGCCUUCAACUGGGCUCCUUGAUUCGUGGAAUGUGAUAAGACCACUCAAUAACUGCUUCAAUAAUUGCUAUUCUGGAUAAUUAUAAUGUUUUAUGUUUGCUAAGAUCUUGGGCAAUUUGAAGGUUUGGGCGAGAACGUAGUCAUCGCUCUGGGCGACCGUAAGGUAUGAUAUUCGCUCAGAUUAUGGGCGUCUUGCAAGCUUGGGCGAUGAUGUUACCGUAUUCGUGGGCUUCCACCGCAUUCAUCAAUAAUCCUGUUUGGACCUUUAUCCUGGAUUCCCAAUUGGGCUUCACUCUUUGGGCUAUUUGAUUUGGGCUGCACUUUUAGUGUAUCAACAAUUACCCCCCAAUAUGGCAGAAUUAAUACUAAUUAUUAAUCUUUGUCAUAUUCACUUUGUAUUUUCCAGCAAUAUUUGAAAUUCCCAAGAAUUUCAAUCAUUAUUUCCUUCUAUAGUUUGAAAAAGUGCAACGUUACAAACCCUUAUAAACCAAAAGGACACGCCAUUUCAUUGCACCACUCAACCACGUCUAUAUUUCUUGCUUCUUCCUCGCUAUUUUACUGUUCAUCUUCUUGCUUCCCUACUACGUUUUCCAGGCAAACCUUAUCAAAACUAUACUUUGUUUCCAAUGGCGACUUCAUAAACUCAAUCUGAUGAUUCAUUUAGUUUCGAAGAUUUUCAGAAACUCCUUACUAGGCCAUAUGUAAAUCCAAACUUCCUUACACAAGUUAGUGCUGACCUCAAUGAAUUCUACUUGGGUCCAUCGUUCAAUAAUGCCGAAGUCGUCGAACAGGUGGGGGUGGGCCAGCUGUUCCUUUGCACUCAAGGUCCUCCGUUCCUGAACUCUCUGUCAUUGAGGUCGAUUCGCGAAAAAGGUAUUCGCACUUGGCCCAAAGUUGAUGUUAUUUUUCAUAGAUGGCAUGCACGUCUUGUGAAUCAUGGCCCCAUUAAGGUGAUUUUUUAUCGUGCUAGGAUUUCAGAUUUAUUAGAAAUUACUCUUCAACCCCCAAUUUUUGACCUAGUGCUUUUUCCUAUUGCUUUGAGUUUUUGGUCUUCUGAGUAUAACACUUUUUUUUCCCUCUUGGUCCCAUGUCUAUUACUCUAAGGGACGUUGGAGCCCUAGUAAAUCUAACGCCUUUGGACGAUACCAUCUUUCCUGGUAUUUUAAUUUCCAGUGUUGCCCCAAAAUUUGACAAGAAACUUACUGAGUCCUAUUCAAGCCUACAAAGCUUUUAUAAUCACUCAAGCGCUGAACCUUCCCAUGGUAAGCAUGUGGCCUUUCUUCAGAUUUAGCUCUGUAAAUAUAUUCUUUGCAUGCCAAGUAUGAAACCUUCUAUGAGCUACUUACCCAUAGCGCAUGAAUUGGCGCGUGGUAGGCCUUUGAACUUAUGUUCUUUCUUUCUAGCCGCCCUUUAUAGAGGCAUGGGUUCCCUUUAGUUUCAACUGAAGAAUGGUGCAUCUCCCACUGGUAGUCGCCCCCUUUGGUUCACUGAGCUGUGGAUGAGAGCAUAUUUUCUACUACUUGGUGCUCCAUCCAUUUCCAGUCGUUCUGCUAGCUGCUAUGAGAUAGCCAUUGAUCCACUGACCCCUGUAAAUAUGUCGAGUAGGGACAUUUUUUCAUUCUUUUAUUCCUUAAAUUCUAUUCCUUCUUUCUUUCAUUUUUAUGCUCAUUUGACCCUCGAUUAUGUGCAAGCUCCAUCCACCCUAGACAGUGCGAGUGCUUCUCUGCUUGUUUGGGUUCAAUUUUUGAUUGGAAGGAAACUGUUCCAUGAUAUCUUAACUGGAACCAAUGCCAAAGCUGGGGUUGAAAUAUAUGCUCUCCAAUUUUUUGCUCGCCAACUUGGUUUUGGCCAAACUUGGCCAGUCUCUCUUUGUUACUCCAAAAAUUUAACAGACCGCUUUCACACCAUUAAUAAGGCAGAGGCACAAGCUAUAGAUGCUCGCAACAUUCUUUUGACAAGUAAGUUUUCAUUAGCCCUUUUCAAUUCUAGCCGUGCUGUCCAUCCUCUUUUUGAAUAACUUUGGCCAUCAGUAAAACACCAAUUGUUUGCAACUAAUGCUGAUCGUGCUUUCCAUUUACUAGACCAGCCAGGCACUCCCUCUACUUCCCCUGUUUUGGUCACCCCUGUGUCCAUUAGGAAUCCUUCUUUCCCUGUUCGUGCUAAACAUUCUAUCCAUCCAUCUGCUUCUCUACCUGCCAAGGCUACUGCAGCUAAAAGUGCCUUAAGCUGUAAACGGCCAACUUAAGCAUCUCCCACUUUGCAGGAUGAUGAUGAUGACGCUCCCCUCAUCCAUAGGAGAAAUGUAAUUAAAUUUGUUUAUUUCCAAACAUACUUUUCUAUGUACUAAUGGUUUAUCUGAAUUCCUCAGAAAAGUUCAGCCUCACCACCUUCGAAGGCUUUAGUUCUGGCAGCCCCUACUCCAUCACCUUCUGUUGAAGCUACUUCGUCCAAGUCAGCUAAUGAAGGGAUUAUGCUUAAAGAGAAAUCCUUAGUCCUGGAACCUUCAUCACAAACAGUAAAAAGGCCACCUUCUUCCCAGGGCGCCGACCCCCCCAAACGUCGAACCAGAAGGUAAUACAUAUUUUGAUGUUUUACCUUUACUUGUGCUACUGGUUUCUGAUUUGUUACUUCUUGAAUUAUGCAAAGGCUUCCAUGGGUCUGCCCGUUGUGGCAGAGUCUUCUCGCCCAGAUAAGGGUAAGUUCCCACAGGUGGUGGAGUCAACUGGUGAUAGGCCUGAACUCUCCAAGAUUGCUAAUGAGGCAACCUUUUGCUUCACUUUCAUUUUUGCUUCGUUUAUUGUAGUGAAAGUCCUCAAUGUUGGCAUCUUUCUUUGCAGGAUGGUGAUGACAUUGUGCGUUCCAUCCAGGACUUGUUUACUUCCUGGGGGCAAGUCAAGACGUCUCGCCCUACUUCAGCUAGUCAUCCUUCUGCUUCUUCAGAGGAAAAUAUGAAGUUUUUCAAGCAGUCGGUAUUUGAGUACGUGUCUUUCAUGGAUAUGGAUAUCGGCCAGGCUAGUGCUACAAAACAUAAGGAUAAGCUUGAGCUGUUGAGUACGAAAUUGGUGCAAGCACUUACAAUUCCGUCGCUCAAUGUUUCUGCUGACUUUAAAGCGACGUUGAAGGUUAUUCACUCUGACAUCUUCUCCCUGCUAGCCAAAAAUGAACUGAAGGCCAGGAGUACUCAAUACCUUUGUGCUGCAUCUGAAAGAGAGUCUUUGUUUCUAGACAUUAACAAAGCCAAGGAUGAAUUAAAAGAAAUCUCUUCCGACGUUAUGAUCGAAGACUCUCUGAUGACAAGUUUGGCUGCAGAGAUGAAGGAGCUUCAAGCAAAAAUGGACGACUGUAGGACGAGAAUGGCUACUAAAAAGCGUAAUGCUUCUCAAGGAAUUGAACGAACCAAGUCUUUGGUUGAGCAGUACAAAAAGCUGGAAGUUGAUGACGAUUUUGUAGUUGAAUUAAACGUUGCUUCUUCUCAGCAGAGCGAAGAUUGGGGGAGACUCAGGGAAAGAAUUCGUUCGGCCUGGGGUGAAUUGUAAUUAAGACAUCUAAUACUUUAACUUUCCUUUUGUAACUUCGUACUAAUUGCCAUUGCUAAUUUUGAAUGUAACAACAGUUAUUAUCGUUAAUGAACGACUAAUUUGUCUACUUGCGUAUUAAUUGACGUUGUCCUUAAUCGUCAAACUUCCAAGUAUUUAAUUACUUUACGCUAAGAUUCAUGUACAUUCUUCCUUGGUAUUUCCAUCUCUUUUCCCAAGACUUUGGGCCAUUUGAUUUCAGUUAUUAGGCACGAAUGCAUCCGUUCACAUUCUGUCUUUUCAUCUUCACGCUUCUAUAAAUGCGUGUUUAUUUCGCACUCAUUAUUUUCAUUUCCAUUCUUUUCUUCAAAAACUAAUUUGUUGCCAUCGUUUGUUACCUCAACAAUUGAUCCAAAAUUUUCGUCUUCCAUAGAAAUGGAUCAUUUGAUCCUCCCAUUUUGCUACCUGUUUUGAUGUCACCUUUGGUAUGGGAGAUAUAGGAAAUAUUUUUUGGCCAGCAAAGUCCUUCCCAUCAUCUCAAUGAUGGGAGGCAAUUUUUGAGGAUGCUUUUCAAGCCAUUUUGCUUGCUGAGAGUACUUCUCAAUCUCCUUGCCCAUUAUUGCAGCAAUACGAUUAGGCAGGCGAUUUGAGGGUGCUUUUCUUCCUUUUUGCUUGUUGAGAGUGCUUCUCAACCUCUUUGCCUGCCCUUGCAGCAGCGCGAUCAGGAUGGUGACCAAGGCCGAUUCACCCUCUUGCUUGGCGAUCGACCGAGGAAUUAGUUUGCUCUCAAUUGUAGCUUAUGGAGCAUUUAAUAUUUUGUGUCUCACAAUUUGUAACGUAUAUUUGAUAAUAAAGGAAUUUAUUUUAAACGUAUUUCAUUCUUGCCCUAUUUAUCUACGAUCGUUCAACGCAAUUUAAUUAUGCUUUUAUUUGUUCAUUCUCCCAUAAGGAGGGAAUAUACUUUUUUAAAUAUUUGCCAUUAAUGAACCUCAUGUGCAUGGUGCCAUCUAAAUCUUCUAGAUGGUAAGCUCCAUUUGGCAACACACUAUUUACUUUAUAUGGCCCUUCCCAAUUGGGCGACCACUUGCCAUACUUUUGAUCCUUGCUAUCCAAAGAGAGUAUUGUUUUCCAAACCAACUCGCACAGGCUAAAUGACUUGACUAUAACUUUUUUAUUAUAAAACUUAUCCAUCUUUCGUUUUUGAACUUGCAAUCUAUCUAGGACGUCUAACUUUAAUUCGUCCAACUCUAAUAAGUUUUGAACUAGUGAUUCGAUAUACUCAUCAUCACUUAACUUAUGUUGCAAACACACUCUGAUUGAUCGCACAUUGAUUUCCAUAGGCAAAAUGGCCUCCUGUCCAUAAGUAAGUUGGAAAGGAGUAACUUUGGUGCUUGAUCGAGGUGACGUCCUAUAAGUCUAUAAAGCCUUGUUUAGACAUUCAUGUCAAUUUCUGGCAUUUUCAUCUAUCAUUUUCCUUAUGAUACUUUUUAGAACCUUAUUAAAAGAUUCUGCUUGUCCGUUAGAUUAAGCGUAAUAUGGUGUGAAGUUCACUAAUUUAAAUCAGUCGCAACUGUAAUGAAGGUAUGUUGCUUGGACGAUGGGGGAUAAAUCUUCCCUAUCAGGUCUAUCGCCCAACCCUUGAACAGUCAGGGUUUGAUGAUGGGUGCCAUCUCUCUUGCUGGCGCCCUUUGUAUUGGACCAUGCUUUUGGCAUGUUAGACAACUCUUCGCAUAUUGAACACAUGAUUCUCCCAUCUUGGGCAAAAAAUAUUCAUUCCUAAUAAUUAACCAUCUCAUCUUUUGGCUAGCUUGAUGAGCUCCACAUAUCCCUUCAUGUACUUCAGCCAUGAUCGUUUUGGCUUCUUGCAAACUUACACAUUUUAGUAAUAUACCAUUAGAGCGUUUCUUAAACAACUCUUCAUCUAUCAAUGUAUAAUUUAGCAAACGCAACUUCAUUUUUUCUACUAACUCCUUUAUUAGGUUCUUUAAAGAACCUUUUAAUCUCUGCCCUCCAAUCUAUUGCAUCUCCAUCUUGUAUGCAAUGAAUUUCUACCCUUCUUGCCCUUCUUUGGAUUACAGGCAAUAUUACUCCAUAUUCAUAAAUAGAUUUCCAAUUUAAACCUUUGAAUACCCUGAAGCCGUCUGGGCCAACUCAUUUCCUAUGUCAUUAUAUAUCCUAUUAACACAUUGAAGCUCUACCUGGUUUUAUUCUUCCAACAAUUCUUGGGCGAUUUCAUAUUGACUUAUAAUGGAAUCACUUUGGCACUUAAAAUCAUCGAUCAAUUGGUGAAUUACCAAUUGAGAAUCGCCUCUAAUGAUCACAUUCUUUACCUCCAUAUCUAUCAUUAAUUCUAAACCCACGAUUAAGGCUUCAUAUUCGGCUUGAUUGUUGGUUCACAUCCUAUCUAAAGUGAAUGCGAACUUGUAAUAAAUCCCUAAAGAAUUUAUCAAUACUACUCCUACUUCUGCACCUUUAGAGGUUUUCGAUUCGUCGAAAUAUAAAACCCAAGGUUUUAAUUCGAAAGAAUUAAUUUCUAAUUCAAUUUCCUCAAGCAUGUCAAGGCAUGGAUGAUCGGCCAGAAAGUUAGUCAAAGCCUGAUUUUUGAUUGCCUUUUGGGGUAUGUAUUGCAUUUCGAAUUCCGAUAAUGCUAACGUCCAAAGGCCUACCCUUUGGUGUAAAAUAGGGCGAGAGAACAUAUAUUUAACCAAAUUUACUCUAGAAAUCAAAUAAACGGUUACGGGCCGCAAAUAAGCUCUUAAUUUCGUAUAUGUGAAAUACAAUGCAAGACAUAAUUUUUCAAUGGCAGAGUAAUUAUAUUCACAUUUUGUUAACCGUCUACUCAAGUAGUAAAUCGCCAUUUCUUCACCAAAUUGGUCUUCUUGCGCGACCAUUCCGGCUAUUGAUUCUUGUUCAGCCGAUAUAUAUACUUUCAUUGGUCGUCCUUGGAUUGGUGACACCAACACUGGUGGACUUGAUAAAUAUGUCUUUAGGCUUUCAAAAGCCUUUUGAUGCUCUUCUUUUCAGACGAAUUCAUCCUGAUUUUUCAACUUUAAAAGUGGUGAAAAAGCUUUAGUUCGCCCUGUACAGUUAGAAAUAAAGCGUCUUAAAAAAUUUACUUGGCCUAGAAACCUUUGCAAUUCUUUUUUAUUGCUAGGUGAUUUGGCCUCUAAAAUAGCUUUCGCUUUAUUUUUAUCAAGUUCAAUCCCCCUUUUGUGCACUAAGAAACCAAGGAAGUUUCCUGCAUUAAUACCAAAUGCACAUUUCAAGGGAUUUAAUUUUAGUUUAUAUUGCCUCAUUCGCUCAAAUGAAUAUCUCAAUUGUUCAAAAUAGUCCUCUUCUUUAAUGGAUUUGACCACUAUAUCAUCUACAUACACCUCAACAAACUUGCCUAUCAUAUCAUGAAAAAUCAAGUUCAUUGUCCUUUGAUAAGUUGCUCCUACAUUUUUUAGGCCGAAAAGCAUAACUACCCAUUCAAAACAUCCUAGAGAUCUAGGGCACCUAAAGGCAGUUUUGUGUAUAUCUUCCUCAACUAUAUAAAUUUGAUUGUAUCCUGAAUACCCAUCCAUGAAGGAAUAUAUUACGUGUCCGGCAGUCGAGUCUACUAAAGAUCUACCAUAGGCAUUGGAUAUUUAUCUUUGGGUAUGGCUAUGUUUAAGUUCCUAAAGUCUAUGCACACCCUUAAUUUACCGUUCUUUUUUAGCACUGGCACGAUAUUGGACAACCACUCUACAUAUUUGGCUGUUCUAAUAAAGUCUGCUUUUAAUAAUCGUUCUAUUUCUUUCUUAAUCUCAGGAAGUACAUUAGGAGUAAAACGUCUAGGAGGUUGCUUAUGAGGUUUAAAAUUUGGCUUGGUUGGCAAUCUAUGUUCCACCAAAGCUCUAUCUAAACCAGGCAUAUGUUCAUAUUUCCAAGCAAAACAAUCCUUAUAUUCCUUUAAUAAAGCGAUUAAACCUCUUGAUCGAGCAUCUGGCUGACGAAUAUUGGGCGAUCUUCCCCUUCAUUGCCAAUAUUCACUUUAAUCAGAGGGUCUUGUGCUUGAGCGUCUCCAAACUUGGUGAUCCUCAUUACUUCAUCGUCCAAUUCCUUUAUAGGCACUUCUUCUUCUAAACAAUCCACCUUGUUGACUUCUCGGCCAAUACUUUGUUCCAACUCGAACAUUGCUAAUUUGUCUCCCAAUGCUUUCAAGGCUGCUUCUUCUUUCGUCUUGUCUUACAUUCUAUAUUGAAAGCCAUUAAUUUGGCUUUGAACGCCUGAAUAUCGGUCAUUUGUCUUUGUUGCUUACAACUCAUUUAAAACUCCUUGAUUACUUUUUUGCCAAUUACUGGCUCUUCCAGGGCCACUAUGUUUGGUCUCAUUUGACUUAACAUUUCAGUGAGUGCAUCUCCAAAAACGGUUCUUCGCUUUGUGCAACAAUUUGAGUUUUUUCUCCAUCUUGGACCACUCUGACAGGUCCGUAAUUUCCUUCGUACAUGAACAUUUCCACUGAGUUUGCUUCUGCGACAAAAGGUCUAUGAUAUGCCUGCACCACUUCUGCUUCACCCUUGUCAUUCCAGAAAACCAGGCAUUGAUGGAGCGAUAAAGGUGUGCAACGACUUCCGUGUAUCCAAUCCCUUCCUAAUAACACAUUGUAACUAGUAGGACCAUAUAUUACGAAAAAGACAAUGGUCCUAGUAGUUGUCCCUACAGUUAUGUCCAAUGGGAUAACCCCUUUAGCUGAAGUUGCUCAUCCAUUGAAACUUAUAAGGAUGACUUCUGUUAGAAUCACAUCACUUUCUGUCUUUGCAAAUUUCCUCAUCAUCCUAGAUGGAAUGGUGUUUAUAGCUGUUCCAUUAUCGAUAAGUACUUUCGCCACAGGUAUACCAUUAACGAAAGCCUUAACGUACAAUGGUCUCAAGUGUUUAGUUAACUUCAUGGCUGGUCUCUUAAAAAUAACAUUUUUCGGCAGCAUCUAUUUCCACUUCCUGUUGAAUUAUCCUUUUGUGAUAAGUCAACGUGCAGUAUGUCGCACUGAGCUUCUGCUUCCUGAAUUUCCUUUUUAUUGUUUUCUAAUGCUUCUUCUUUGGUUAUUCAACAUGUGGGAGGAGGCAUUACUCUUGAAGGUGAUCCAUACUUUUCAGAGUGAGGUACUCUCUUUUUCUUCUUGGGCAUCCCGUACAGCACAUAAUAAUCGAAAGAACGGCCAGACGGUUCCACCAACAAGUCUACUUCACGAACUCCCUCUUGAUGUAGUUGCUUCAACAGAGUAUUGUGCGAUACUCCUCUCUUUCUUCUUUCUGCUUCCAGAUCAAUUUCCUUUUCGAUGUCCGUCAUACCAUCAUCCUCUUCACCAUUGUAGGCCCCUCUAGAAGUUUAGCCUUCUUCACAUUCCAUCACACAUGCCACUUCCUCGUUAUUCUCCCUCUCUUCUUCUUCCUUCUCUUUGUUCUUGAACUCAUUGGCUAGUAAAUAGUUAUUAGUCAUGACAGGAGGUAACGUACCAAACUAAAUAGUAAGGGGCUGAUCUGGAUCCUCUCCAUCCCUUCUGUCUUGCUCAAACUUCGAUCUCCCAGAAGAAUUCUCUGGCAAUUCUUCCAUCGAUUCACCUGUACCAGUCUCUUCACUAUCUUUAAGAACAUUUUGAUUGGCCACCUUGAGUAGUUUAGGCGCCUUAGGACGUGGCACUCCCUGUUGUUGCCUCAUCAUUCGUCCAUAAUUCUGUGAAAACGCCUUUGUUGGGUUCUAGUCAUCUCGUUGAAGGGUAUCACCCUUCCUGCAUUAUACUGGAACGAAUGUCAUACAUUUGGUUGGCGAGGUUGCGGCCUGAAUGUUCUCCCAUUAUUUAUUGUCCUGAACUGUCUCUCAAAAGGUGAUCCCCUAUAAAAUGAUGUACCUCGCCCUCUACCAGGCUGAGCAUUUGGGAAAAAACUAGGGUAAUGGUGAUGCUGCCAUAUCCCUAGUUUCUCUGUAUUUGCACUCACUUCUCUUUUACAUCUUGCGCAUAGGACGUCUUCAUCCUUUUUAGGCUCCUUCUCUUUGAUACGUUCAAAGACGCUGGGGUGUGGCCCAAUGUCUUCUUCUCCAUCAUCUAUAACCAACUUGAAUUUUGGCAACUUGUUUUUGAAAUUAGUCGUCACCAUGUUCACCCCAAGUGGCUGUGGAAAAGGGUUUUCAUCCACUGUCAUCUUUUUCUUAUCUUCGAACGUAAUUCGUCCUGAUUCAAUGGCGUCCUAUAACACAUGGCAAAAAACCAAACAAUUGUUAGUCAAAUGCGACCAUGCAUUAUGCUACUUACAAUAUUUUUUACCCUUGAUUUGUUCAGGACUUGGCAACUUAUGUUUAUCGCUCAGCUUUAUCUGCUUAUCCUUAUAUAGUUUAUCAAAUAUAAGGUCAGCUUUGAUUACAUCGAACGAGAACGUUCUAGCCUUUUUGUUUUCAUCUUUUAUAGGCUCAUCCUUGCCCGAUGAUCUAGGUUUAGCCAUUAUAGGACAAGUAUAUGCGUCUCCUUUGAUUAAUUCGGCCAAACACAUUUCGGUUUGAUCGUAAUACUCGUCAUUAAUAGUAUGAACAUCAAAGUUUGGGUCUCUAUAAUAAGUCCCCUUGCUAGAAUUUUUCAUCUACUCUUUUUCUCUUAUUAAUCAUUCAUACCUAAUCACAUUUGCGCUCAAUUGGAAAAGAUCAGAAAAUUUCCUGUUUUGGAAUUUCUUUUUCAAAUCAAAGUUUAGACAACUUUGAGUGAUCUUGACAAACUCCUUUUUGGGUAAAGGUACAAAACAUUUACUUCUUGCUGUCUUGAACCUUUGAAGGAAACCUUCUGCCCAUUCUUUUGGCAUUUGACGUAGAUUCGCCAAAUCGGCCAAAGUAACUUCAGACUCAGUCUUAUAAAACUAAGCAUGGAACGCUCCAAUUGUUGCCAUGUUUGAACAGAGUUUGCUGACAAAUUGAUGAACCAAGAGAAAGCUACUCCUGUUAAUGAACUAGGGAACAACCUCAUUUUAUGGUAGUUGGUUACUUCAUCACUUUGCAGUGUGAAUCGCCCUAUGUGUUCUAGAGUAGACACCUCUCCUAAACCGGUAAAUAAUGAGAAUUCUGGCACUUUAUACCCUCUAGGCUAUGGAUAUGCUUGGUCUACCCAAUCAGGGUAUGGCUUUGUGUAAGUCGGCCUAAUGACAGGACGUACCCCAAAAGCCAUUUGAUCCUGUACUAUUUCCAUAAUUUGGUUUCUCAACAUGACAUUAAGGUCAUAUGGAAUUCCUACAGGUUGGUUGGUCGGUUGAUUUGCCUGAGGCCUGAUGUUUGGUCCUUGAUUAGCAACAAAGUUGACAUGAUUUGGGUCAUUGUUGCCAUUAGCCUAAAUAUUUAUUCCAUCAUUGACACGUGUGGGUAUUCUGUCCAUUAUUUAGGACAUUGUCUCUUAUAUUUAGGUUACCCCCAAGUUAGAUGUACCAUUACCUCUAUUCUGAUUUGGCCUUACACCAUCCCCCUAGUUUGAAGUAGAUGGACCAAAAGGUCGUUCUAUCCCCUGAUUUGGACUUAGGACUGGGGAAUUAUGCCCCACGACUGUCCUAGUUUGAAAGUGAUUUGCAAUAGGCACAAUUGGCUGACAAAUUUGGCUUACUAACUUAUUCAUUAUUUCAUUUAAUAUAUUCAGUUGUUUGACCAUGUUGUCAUAAUGUGAAUUCUCAUUCUAGGUAAAUCUUUCCAUAUUAUGAACAUUUCGUAGAUUUACCAAUUCAACGACAUCCUGUGUGAGUUCUCCAAGCAAUGCAUGCAUGGUUCGAGGACUCAACUCUGUUAUUGGCUCAUAACAACUGUGACUGCUUUGACUCUGUCCCUCUAUUCAUGGAGAGCUUUGCUGCUCCUCAUAUCGCUCGAUCAUAGACUGGACUCCUCCCUGACUUGCUGCUUCUUUAUCGAAUUUGUGAGGCAUAUUGUUUCGUUUUUUGUAUUUUCAACACCAAACACCAACGUCCCAUCGGGCGUGCCAAAUUGUUUUGUGCGGGUAAUCGCUAACAAUUAAAAAAGGGAUCAGACGAUUGUGUAAGGAACAGAUCUCUUGAGACAAAGUCUCAAAAAGGUGUGUUUUAUUGGCGAUGAUUUACAAUUGGAAUUUAAACAAAAUGCCUCCAAAGGGUGCAAACACACGAGUACUAAAAGAAAUAUCUAAGUUUAAACUAAGAAAUCGAAAUUACAUAUUCUCUGUUUGAGAGUGUUUGAUUCGAGGUCUUUUUCUCUAUGUCUUCUCUUCCUUUUAUAUUCCUUUGAUGAAUUCUUCGUGACAACCGUUUGGAAACUGCUUGAUUGCAGUAUAACUACCCACUUUCUUUAUAGUGGCUAACUUGUAAGGGAACUGUCGUCCCUAACUAUCGCCAUUACUCUUUGUCGUUCAACCGCCUUCAACUGAGCUCCUUGAUUCGUGGAAUGUGAUAAGACCACUCAAUAACUGCUUCAAUAACUGCUAUUCUGGAUAAUUAUAAUGUUUUAUGUUUGCUAAGAUCCUGGGCGAUUUGAAGGUUUGGACGAGAAUGUGGUCAUCGCUCUGGGGGACCGUAAGGUAUGCUAUUCGCUCAGAUUCUGGACGUCUUGCAAGCUUGGGCGAUGAUGUUACCGUGUUCGUGGGCUUCCACCGCAUUUAUCAAUAAUUCUGUUUGGACCUUUAUCCUGGAUUCCCAAUUGGACUUCACUCUUUGAGCUAUUUGAUUUGGGCUGCACUUUUAAUGUAUCACCAGGUUCAUAUCCAUCAAUAAGGAUACUGCAGGGAAGAUAAAUUCUUGCAGUCGUGACUCACCUUAAGCAAUGUGUAAUGAAUAUGCC
rnacentral:lncRNA from 1 species